rnacentral:rRNA from 1 species
CGCGGUAUAUUGACCGUGCAAAGGUAGCAUAAUCAUUAGUCUUUUAAUAGGAGUCUGGCAUGAAAGGUUUAACGAAAUAUAAUCUGUCUUAUAUUUAUUUUUAUAAUUUAGCUUUUAAGUUAAAAGGCUUAAAUUUUAUUGAUGGACGAGAAGACCCUAUAGAGUUUUAUAUAAUUAAUUUCAAUUAUGUUAUUGAUUAAAUAUAAUUAUUGAAUUUUAUUUUUAUUUGGUUGGGGUGAUUAUAAAUAAAUAAGUAACUUUUAUAAAUAAUAACCAUUAAUUUAUGAUUAUUAGAUCCAUUAUUAUUGAUUAUUAGAAUAAAUUACCUUAGGGAUAACAGCGUAAUCUUCUUUCAGAGUUCAAAUUUACAAGAAGGCUUGCGACCUCGAUGUUGGAUUAAGAUAAUUAUUAAGUGCAGAAGCUUAAUUAAUAGGUCUGUUCGAC